rnacentral:rRNA from 1 species
ACAGUAUCCGAGUUGUAAUUUGAAGAAAGUUAUCUUGGAGUUGCGCCCUUGGUACAUAUGUUCCUUGGAACAGGACGUCACAGAGGGUGAGAAUCCCGUGCGAUGGGGUGCCCAUUCUAUGUAAGAUACUUUCGACGAGUCGAGUUGUUGGGAAUGCAGCUCUAAGUGGGUGGUAAAUUCCAUCUAAAGCUAAAUAUUGGCGAGAGACCGAUAGCGAACAAGUACACGUGAUGGAAAGAUGAAAAGAACUUUGAAAAGAGAGUGAAAAAGUACGUGAAAUUGUUGAAAGGGAAGGGUAUUUGAUCAGACUGAUAUUCAGUUAACACUGUUCCUUGUGGAUGGUGCUCUAGCUUUUUAUUGGGCCAGCAUCAGUUUAGGUGGCAGGAUAAGAACUGUUGAACGUGGCUCUUCGGAGUGUUAUAGCUUCAGUUGAUACUGCCUAUCUAGACUGAGGUCUGCGGUUUGCCU